UGAGCACCAAUAAGCACACGGACU
rnacentral:miRNA from 1 species